GACAAUUAUGUUUGUAUUGUUGAUGAAUUUCUUUGCAGUUUUUUGUUGGUGUAGGAGGCAUAAUAACAUUACUCUUGCAAACUCGUUUGGAAACAAAAAAGAGAAACUGGUGUAAAAUCGAGAAUGGAAGCUCCUAAAAAUAUGGAUAAAGCAGCAUGGACUAAAGAAACGUUGCAUGUCUUUUGUGACCUUUGCAUCAAGGCUAUCGACAUGGGAAUGA